ACGGGUGAGUAAUGUCUGGGAAACGUGCCUGAUGGAGGGGGAUAACUACUGGAAACGGUAGCUAAUACCGCAUAACGUCGCAGACCAAAGAGGGGGACCGUUCGGGCCUCUUGCCAUCGGAUGUGCCCAGAUGGGAUUAGCUAGUAGGUGGGGUAACGGCUCACCUAGGCGACGAUCCCUAGCUGGUCUGAGAGGAUGACCAGCCACACUGGAACUGAGACACGGUCCAG
rnacentral:rRNA from 1 species